rnacentral:lncRNA from 1 species
GACGAUGAUCAGCCUAAUCUACAAUUGCAUCUCAUGAUCUCAUUCUCACUAAUACUUCUUUUAACUUAAAUUCAACAUUGGCAUGUAAAUAAACGUACCUAACGUAAUGAUUAACAACCCAUUUAGCAUCAGUCAUUUCAAUUACAUCUCGAAUGUAAAUAAAUCCAUGUCCAAGAAAGUCAAGUUAUAGAAAUCCAUACAAAAGAAGCUUCUACACCAUUUAAAUGUUUUCUAAUAUAUUGACCAUUCCAUUUGGUUGGAUCUUGUCUCAGCCAUUACAAAUGUGACAAUUACAUGCUUGUCGUAUCCACUAUUUUUUUACCCUUCCCAUUUUUCUCUCUACAACAGCUUCUAAUUAGUCUGUCUUAAACUCUCAGUUCCAUUAUUCCUUACCCUGUACACAAUCCUUUCAAGAUGCCAAGUCCUCUGAUUUGCGGCAGCUUCAACAAUCAAGAAGACGAAGAUUUUGAGUUUCUUGGUUCAUUUACUAGUCCGAGGUCACGAAAGCCAGCCAAAUGGCAUAGCUUUGGUGGGAGCAAGGGCAACAAGAACCCGUAUGCAGACCGCGGGCUUGAUAAAUUUUCUGCACUUGUAGCUGAGCUUGAUUCCAGAAGAAAGAAGAUUUACACUCAGAAAGGCUCUGAAGACAUUUCACUUAUCGGAUUCGUCUACUCAAACUCGGAUGAUUACAAGCCUAUUGUUGUCAAACUCAAGAACAAGAAACAGCAAAGCAUGAUCACCGAAAAGGACAAACUCAAGCCUGAUCACGUCGUCUCACCACCAGCCUCUUCCGAAAUCGAGCCAGCUAAGCCAGAUCAAGCGAAAGUACUGUCACGAAUCGGAUCAUAUAUCAAGACAACUCCCAAGAAAGUCAGGUUUGAGGUGGUGAAAAACAUCAAUACGGACAAUUUGAGGCAGCCUUGGUAUUAUAUUUCGUUGAUCACAAUUUUCAUAUUGGUUUCCAUCACGGUAUUUGGAAGAUCAUUUGCAGUAUUGUGCACGACUCUUGGCUGGUACCUCGUUCCAACCAUCCAGAACCUCGACGUCAAGAAGAAGCCAGCGGCCAAGAAGAAAAUUUAUGCAAAAGCUUUGAGUUACAACGACAAGUUAAUCACAAGUAGAGAUAAUGAGAUGGUGGAUUCCAAGAAGACCAAGACGAUGAAGAAAGCUAUGAGUUAUAGUUAUAAUAAGAACGUGAAGAUCAGUAGUAGUACUUUUGAUCAUGGAAUAGCUUCUCCUAGCAGUGUGCUCAGUGGAUACAAAUCACCUCCACAGCCAGCUUCGCCGCCACUAGAUCGUCGGCUGAGUUUUCCAACACAAGGCAACUGAUAAGCAUACUCGUUUUCGGGUUCUUGAAAUUAAGCUUUUAAUUUUUUCACGAGUUUUUGUUGAUUGAUGUGGUUCUGGUCAUGUGUGAAAUGAUCAAUGAUUCCUCUUGAAUCUUAAAUGUACAUAUGAAUGUUCAAGUCCAUUACUAUUUGAACUCCAGCACCAACAGGCUUCAGUUAAGUAACUGAUUCAUCUCGAAUCUUAACUGUAUUUUCUAUUUUUCUUUCAAUAUCUGCACUGUUUCCCUUAGUCUUCCCGGUAGUUAAAAUUGGAUACCUGCAUGCUCAUUUCUCUAGCAUACACACAAAUCUGAUCUUUAUUCAGGGUUCACUUUACAUUGAUAACUCUUCUUAUAUAUGAAUAUGUUAAUUUGCUCAAUAUUUAUUUUUUACAUACUUCUUUUUUAUAACUAAACAUUCAAGAUCUUCGUCCUCUUAUAAAAAGAGCAUGAUCUAUAAAUUCUAGAGUGCUUCAUGACCUAAUGAACUAAGAAAAUUUAGAGCUUAAUUUUACUUUCUCCGUCCGUUUAAUUUUAUACGUUUCUUUUGAAUUAUUCGACACGUAUUUCAAUACUAUGUAAUUUAUUUUUGAAAUUUUUUUAAAUAAAAAUUUAAUAUCUAAACUAGUGUUUUUGCCCGCGCUCCGCGCACGGGCUUCAAAUUUUUAUUGAAUUUUGUUAUUAUUAUUUCACAAAUACAUCUAAUAAAUAAUUAUAUUUGAAUUUUCAAAUAAAGUAUAAAGUAGGAAGAAAAAAAUUAUAUUAGACAUAACUCUCUUAUACUUAAGUUUAUUAUAUAUCAAGAAAAUUCAAGUGAAAUUAUAUGUCGAACAAUAUUAAACUAAAAUUAUAUAUCAAACAAAACAUUAUGUUAAUAAGAACAUCAAAAUUAUACGUCAAAUCAAAUAAAUAGAUUUGAAUGACUAUCCACUGUAAUGAUAGUUAUACUACAUUCUUGUUUCAUGAGGUAUUGGGCAGUCACAAUUCUACCAGACCCGAAUCUAACUCGUACCGGCGGAUUGUGUUUUACCAAACCCAAAUUAUAGGGUUUUGGAUAAAAAUUUGUUUAUAAAGCCGAAUAAUUUUCGGACCAGGAUCGGGUUUGAUUCGAACCCAACCUGAAAAUCCGGAACUCAUUUCGAACCCGAACCCGGAUAUAUAUAUAUAUAUAUAUAUAUAUAUAUAUAUAUAUAUAUAUAUAUAUAUAUAUAUAUAUAUAUAUAUAUAUAUAANNNNNNNNNNNNNNNNNNNNNNNNNNNNNNNNNNNNNNNNNNNNNNNNNNNNNNNNNNNNNNNNNNNNNNNNNNNNNNNNNNNNNNNNNNNNNNNNNNNNNNNNNNNNNNUUGGAUUUGCGAAACCAAUUUCGACCGACCUGAUUGCUAUCUGUAACACUGAUACAUAUCUACUAUGUUAAAAACUUUAUAUAUAUUAUUUCCAAAAUUUAAAAAUUGAUAUAUUUGUGACAUAGCUAAAUAUUAGACGACUCCCGAAUAUUAAAUAUUAAAUAAAAAUAUAAUUAUAAAUUUCAAUUUUAAUUUUUAAACAUUUUAUUUAUAUAUAAAUUAAUAUAAUUAACGCUUAGUUAUAUGAUACAUGAUAAGCUUAAAAAUUGUGACAGUAUAUUCAAUAUAAUUAUCUUCUUCAAUUUUCAUUAGUUGUGUACAAAUUCAAAAUUCAAAAAAUGCUAUGAUACAUGGAAUGUAGUUAUUGCAUUACCAUUCAAAAUUUAAUAUACUUGUCAGUCAUUGAUUACGCCCAAUUUUAGGAUUUUUAGGACAUGUGAUUGGUCUAAAAUAAAUAUGGAAUAUGAUAUGACACGUCAAAAUUUAAAAUACGCCCAAUUUUAGGAUUUGACAUGUGAUUGGUCUAAAAUAAAUAUGGAAUAUGAUAUGACACGUCAAAAUUUAAAAUAGGUGUAUUUGUCUUGGACUUUUUUUUUGAAAUAUGUGACAUUGAUGAUUUUGCACUGUUCAGGAUUUAUAAUAUAAUUUGGGUUCGAUUUUGGUAUUUGUGAAACCCGUUUCGAUCGACCCAUUGAUUACGCACAAUUUUAGGAAUCUUAGGACAUUUGAUUGGUCUAAAAUAAAUGUGGAAUAUUAUAUGACAUGGCAAAAUUUAAAAUAGAUGCCAUUGACUUGGACUUUUUUUUUUUGAAAUAUGUGGCAUUGAUGAUUUGGCAUUGUUCAGGAUUUAUAAUAUAGUUUGGAUUCGAUUUUGGAAUUUGCGAAACCCGUUUCGAUCGACCCGAUUGCUGUCUCUAAGUAAUAGUACAUAUCUACUAUGAUUAAGUUGACCUACAUAAAAUGCUAAAUACAUACUAAUUAAUGACGUAAUAUUUUUAUAAAAAUACUUUUUAUAAUACUUAUAUCACUAUGUUAGAAAAUGUAAUAUAUAUUAUUCCGAAAAUUAAAAAGCAACAUAUUUGUAACAUAGCUAAAUUUUAGACGACUUCCGGAUAUUAAAUAUUAAAUAAAAAUAUAAUUAUAAAUUUCAAUUUCAAUUUUUAAGCACUUCAUUUAUUUAUAUAUAAAUUAAUAUAAUUAAAGCGUAGUUAUAUGAUACAUGCUAAGCUUAACAAUUGUGGCAAUAUAUUCAAUAUAAUUAUCUUCUCCAAUUUUAAUUAGUUCCGUACAAAUUUAACAUUCAAAAAAUGCUAUGAUUAUGGAAUGUAGUUAUUGCAUUACCAUUCAAAAUUUAAUAUAAUUGUCAGUCAUUGAUUACGCUCAAUUUUAGGAAUUCAAAGAUAUGUGAUUGAUUAUUCUGAUACGUUUAAAUAAAUAAGGGAAAUUAUAAUGGCAUGGCAAAAUCUAAAAUAUGUGGCAUUGAGGUGGACUUUUUUUUGAAAUAUGUGGCAUUGAUGACGUGACACUGCUCAGGAUUUAUAAUAUACAUAGAUUUGGGUUCGAUUUUGGUAUUUGUGAAACCCGUUUCAACCGACCCAUUGAUUACGCACAAUUUUAGGAAUCUUAGGACAUCUGAUUGGUCUAAAAUAAAUAUGGAAUAUUAUAUGACAUGGCGAAAUUUAAAAUAGAUGUCAUUGACUUGGACUUUUUUUUUUUUGAAAUAUGUGACAUUGAUGAUUUGGCAUUGUUCAGGAUUUAUAAUAUAGUUUGGAUUCGAUUUUGGAAUUUGCGAAACCCGUUUCGAUCGACCCGAUUGCUGUCUCUGAGUAAUAGUACAUAUCUACUAUGAUUAAGUUGACCUACAUAAAAUGCUUAAUACUACUAAUUAAUGACGUAAUAUUUUUAUAAAAAUACUUUUUAUAAUACUUAUAUCACUAUGUUAGAAAAUGUAAUAUAUAUUAUUCCGAAAAUUAAAAAGCAACAUAUUUGUAACAUAGCUAAAUUUUAGACGACUUCCGGAUAUUAAAUAUUAAAUAAAAAUAUAAUUAUAAAUUUCAAUUUCAAUUUUUAAGCAGUUCAUUUAUUUAUAUAUAAAUUAAUAUAAUUAAAGCGUAGUUAUAUGAUACAUGCUAAGCUUAACAAUUGUGGCAGUAUAUUCAAUAUAAUUAUCUUCUCCAAUUUUAAUUAGUUCCGUACAAAUUUAACAUUCAAAAAAUGCUAUGAUUAUGGAAUGUAGUUAUUGCAUUACCAUUCAAAAUUUAAUAUAAUUGUCAGUCAUUGAUUACGCUCAAUUUUAAGAAUUCAAAGAUAUGUGAUUGAUUAUUCUGAUAUGUUUAAAUAAAUAAGGGAAAUUAUAAUGACAUGGCAAAAUCUAAAAUAUGUGGCAUUGAGGUGGACUUUUUUUUGAAAUAUGUGGCAUUGAUGACGUGGCACUGUUCAGGAUUUAUAAUAUACAUAGAUAGAUUUUAAUUCAGGAAAAAAAUUAAAAAUUAAUUACACAAUUAUACUUGCAAUAAUAUUAGAGUCCGUGACGCGUUUCAUCUCUAACAUAUGCUAUCCAGGAACGGAGCGUUCCAUUAAUAUAUACUAUCCAGGAACGAGGUGAGUAUUAAUUCGGGCUAAUCUAUAGAUUUUGGAGUGCUUCGCGAAUGGAGAACAACCGGAGGUUUGAAUAUCUUUUUAUAUAUUCAGAGAUGUACUGAAUUCAGGCGGUUAUAGAUCUUGAUACAUGUGAUAGAAAUUCAGUUAAAUUUAAGGGGAAAUUAUCUUAUAUACUGUUUUUUUAAUAUUAUUUUCAAAAAUACUAUCUUCCUCAAUUUUAUUUUCAAAAAUAUUACCUUCUCUAAAAUAUUUUCAAAAAUACUAUAUUUUUGAAAAUAUUUUCCAAAAAUACGGUGGUUGCAUAUGCAACCAUAUAUGCAACUGAAAUCCUGAUUUCAAAUUUCUGUUUUCAAAUAUCAUUUUCGACCUCAUCUUUAGAUUUGAUAUAUAUAUAUACAUAGGCUCAUGAUCAAAUAGAAACCACUCUUAAAAUAAAAACUAAAAACCAGUUUCUCUACCACUAUUUAUAACUACGGGUAUCACUAAUUUAUACUACACUAAUCACUGUUUUUGUACAGUAUAUAAACAACGAUUUUUACUAUACUGCACUAAUCACUGUUUUUAUAUAGUAUGUAAACAGCGAUUUUCAUUAUCAAAAUUGAGAUAAUCUACUUAUCUAAAUUAUUGAUAAUCGAUUAUAGAUGAUCAAUUUUAGUCGUAGGAAGGUUUUUGGCAGUAGGAAGUCGCAAGAGAAGUCAUAUGAUGGUGAUAAGUAGUCGUUAGUUUUACUAAGUUAUGAUAGAAACUGUAUGUGACUAUUGGUGAUCGGAGACAAUGGUGGUAAGUCAUAGAAACGUCUGGUUAUAGUGGUAAUAGGUCCAUUAUGCCGGUUCGGGGGAAGAUGAUGGUCAUAUACAUUGUAUAUAUGUGUGUGUAUAUAUAUUUAUAUUCGUGAGAUAUGCUAUGUAUAAAUUAGUGAUAUGUUAUCUACAAAUUAGUGAUUUCUGUAGUUAAAACUAGUGAUAAAAAACGGAUUUGUGGUAAGAGGUCCAUUAUUACGAUUUGGGUGAAGAUGAUGGUCAUGUACGUUGCAUAUAUGUGUGUAUGUAUAUAUUUAUAUUCGCGAUAUGCUAUAUAUAAAUUAGUGAUAUGUUAUGUACAAAUUAGUGAUUACUGUAGUUAUAAAUUAUAGUGAUAAAAAACUGUCCAGAAACUGGUUUUUAGUUUUUAGGCUAAUUUGAUUUCUAUUGGAGUAGGACUCUAUAUACAUAUAUACACACACAACCACAGUAUUUUUGAUUUUAAAGAAGGUAGUAUUUUUGAAAAUAAGAUUGAAAACGUGGUUAUGAAUAAAAAAAAGCCCUAAAUUUAAUCUGAUCAUAGAAAUGCACUAUAUUUGCUUUAAAAAAAAAUGCACUAUAUAAUUAUUUAAUGAUGAUCAUGAAUAUUUCCUGUGGCACUAAUUUCAGACAUAUGAAAUUUAAUAAAAAUUAUUUAAAUCUCAUGGUAUGUCAAAAUUAAUGAUAUAUUUUAUUUAUUCUAUAAACUGAUCGAUUCUAAAAUAAAUAAAUAUAAUAAUAAUAAAUAAAUAAAUUUUAAUUGUUUAGUGAAAUAUUAUAUUAAAAAAUUAUGAAUUAUAUUAUUUAUAAUAACAACAAAAAAUUACAUUACAUAGACACAUAAAGUUAUAUUCUGUGAGGAUAAUAGGAUGUAAAACAUUAUAUACAAUUACGAGAAUAACAAUGCUAUAGAGUAAUAAUUUCUUAAUACAUAAUCGAAGACAAAUUUGUGAUUAAAACCAACUAGCUUACGAUAUCAAGAGGAUUGUAUAUUUAAUUUAUUUAUUUAUAAAACAUGAUAAAUUUUACAAUCAAAAUCAAAAAUUAAAAUAUUAAAAAUUUGUUUAUCUUUAAUAAAGGAGAUAAUUUCUUUUACUAAUUUGAAUUAAUUCCAUUAUAUACCGCCACUGUUUGAUUUUUCUAAUAAAAGUGGAUACGGAUAAACUUGAAGCAAAUCGGGUCGUUAUAGUCUAUCCGGGUCGAUCCUAUUCGGGGCUUGACCCGCCUCCGUCUCUCCUAUACUAUCACCACUAGGCACUAGGUCUAUCUAAAUCAACGUUGAAUCAGAACUAUCAUACUCAAAUCACUCCUCAAUUCACAAUCGCUCAAGUAGAAACGCAGAGAGGAGAUGCGAGGAGAAUGUGGAAACAAGUUAGAGAAAGAGAAACAGGUGUUAUUAACUCUAAAUUAUUCACUCGCCGCGUUAAAUCAGACCGAGUUUCAUCGCUUCAACUCUCCAAUCACAAGGAAAUCGUCUCUGCUCACCGCGGCGCGAUUAAUUCGCUUCAGGUAUAUUACAUCUAUCGUUUUUACUGGUAAUUAGUAUAUUUAUUUGAUUUGAGCUUAAUUACGGAGUAAUUAACUCGCGUUAUCAGUUGAUUAAAUCGCACGAUAGUUGUAAAUAAUUUAGUUAAACAAUUUUUUGAUAUUUGCGAAAAAUUUGGUACAUGAUCUGUAGAUGUAUAUCGAGAACGUGUAAACUCAGACUAGUCUACUGAACUGGUUUUCCACAUAUUCUAGUUAUGGAUGUUUACAGUUUAAUAAGGUAGCUUUGUUGGCGUUUUUGGUUACGUUUAUCAAGUACAAACGUGUUAGUGCUGGAUUUUAUUUUAGGCACAUAUAUUUAAUCCGGUACCGUAGUUAUAUAUGUAUGAUAUUAUCCUUUUUCGUAGUGAUUAAGAAAAUAAUUUGCGCUUAGGAGUAUAGCAAAUGUAUUUUUAUUGAUUAUUUAGUAAUUUGCGGUUCAUAAAACGUAAAGUAUGCAAGUUCAAGGAAACUUGGGCAGUGUGUUUGAUCACCAAAUCAGGUUGAUUUGACAGAGGGGAGAUAUUUGUUAUCGGGCGGGUCCGAUGCAUCAGUUGCUGUUUAUGAUGUUCAGCGUGCAACAGAAUAUGUGGCAGGUGGUUUGGUUGCCAAGCAUAAGAACAUUCUUUUAGUUGAUAAGCAGCAUGAACACGGGCACAAAUAUGCCGUAUCCUCGGCCAUAUGGUAUCCUGUUGACACUGGUCUUUUUGUCACAGGUUCAUAUGAUCAUUUCGUUAAUGUUUGGGACACAAAUACCACACAGGUAGAGUUUUUCCAUUCCUUAAAACUGUUCAGUUAAAUUAAAUAUGAAGAUGUUUUUAGUAACGGAUUAAUUUGACAAAUUAAAUUUCACUUCUGCUGUUUUAGGUGGUAAUGAAUUUCAAAAUGCCAGGUAAGGUUUAUAAAACUGCUAUGUCUGCGUUGUCUACGUCACACAUGCUUAUUGCUGUGGGAUCAGAAGAUGUUCAAGUUCGCCUUUGUGAUAUUGCCUCGGGGGCCUUCUCUCAUACAUUGUCCGGUCAUCGAGGUAUGUUAAAUGACUUAAGGUUUUUUUUUCCCUAUCAAUAUAUUAUAUGAUGGUUGGCGAUUCCUUGAGUAUAUAUGGUCCAUGGUUACCUAGCUCCUUAGUAUUACCUUUAGUGAACAUUGGUCAGCAUACACCAAGCAAUCGAACUAUAUCUUCAAUGUACAUUUAUGUAAUUAUGUUUAAUCCUGUAAGAUAACCCCAGAACUUUUUUCGAUAUUAUUAUAAUUCAAUUUUGGAUGACUGUGUAAUACCACCUCUCCCUAGGUUAAUGUCAUCGGACUAAAGUAAAAAGUGAGUGCAUAUACUAAUUGUCCGGAGAUUAUUAUAUUUUGUUGAAACAUAGCUUUAGUGAACUUUAUUUGACAAAUAUUCUAAGCAGUUCAGGUGAGGGAUCAACAACUUACUUUUUGCCUUGAGGUUGUAAUGUCUUGAAAUCACUGUUCAUUCUUUUCUAGCUGAACAGUCAUUUAUUGAGAACAAUGAAUAACUAUGCUACAUGCUUUGCAAUUAUCCUGUUGUAAUUAUUUCAUUGUACAUUUAGAAUGUUACUUAUGAAUUAUGGGUAAUGAAGACUCUUUACUAGGGACUGUAGUGACCAUGGAUUCUACAUUUAUUACCUGUAGUCUGUAGCAAUGAGAUGCAAGUAAAAUAUAGCUGCACAUAAAAUUGUAAUUGCAAUGAUAUGCAAGAAAUAUAGGCAACUUAUGUAAAAUUUUAAUUGCAAAUCUUUGAUGAUGUAGAUGGAGUAAUGUCAUUGGAGUGGUCUACUUCUAGUGAAUGGGUUCUGCUAACAGGGGGACGUGAUGGUGCUAUACGAUUUUGGGACAUUAGACGGGCCGGUUGUUUUUCUGUUUUAAAUCAGUCUCAUACUCAACUUGGAAGAAGGCCACCUUUCCUACAACGUGUCAGCACUAACAAGGUCCCUCUUUGCCCUUACCUAUGUUGAUUUAAUCUGUUAAUAUAUAUUUAGGCCCCACUUUACUCUUUAUUGCACUCUCCAUGGACCGCUAGUUCUUUCUUGACAUUUGUGGUGAUCGCUUAUAUUCUAUCGAUAUAUAGGUAUGCACUCUGAGAAGUAAAGGAGGAAGUGAAUACUCCUAAUCGUGUUUUGAAGGCUUUAGAGUCCAAAUUAUCUUCUUCAGCUGUUCCUCGCUAACCGUCCUCGGCCUUUUUUCUUCUUCAUCUGUUUCCCUCCAACUGUCCUCACCAUGUGUUCAACAUCAAGUGCAAGCAAAACAAUCCACUUGCCAUACAAGACACACACACACACAAAACUAGCCCGCCCAGUAGAGGCUUAAUUAUAAAUAUAUAUACCGGACUUGCAAUAGAUUGGGUUCACGAUGAAUGAUGAUAUGGGUUUAGCGAGUGGGAGAGAAGGGAUUAGAUUCAUCAAAUCCUGAUUCCUAAUGCAAAAUCUAGCAUCUCGGGCUUCUUACUAUAAAGAUGGUAGGUUAUUGAGAUACUGAACUUUAAUCUGGAAACUUACCUGCUAACUACAAUAGCAUCUUGCUUCGUGAGGCAGCGGCAGGGUUAGAAAAAUUCAGUCUUAUGAGGAAGAAUAUAUUGGUUCUCUGGACACUCUUAUCAUUUCACUUAUAAGAGGAAAGAUAAUCUAACGAAAUCCCUCACAAGUCACAAGUCAUAGUGUGUUAGUCAAGUGACUGUUGCACUUACGUUAACAAUAUAGAAUCAGGAGAUUGAACUUUUAUAUGGGAAAACUUUUUGUUAACGACCAUUAAGUGUAUGAAUAUGUAUAUGUACACAUAACCCCAUAUGUCUGAUUAUCAAAUCAAAUAUUUUGAGGAUGAAGGAAAUAUUAAAACCACAAGGUCUAUAGGGAAGAUAUGAAAAUUACUCGGUAGUUUUCACUUUGGCCCUGUGAGACAGCUUAUGUCUCCUUAACCCCGUUGCCCUCAGGCCGCUCACAGUGUCGUGUCUUUAUUCUGUUGUAAAUCGGAAUUAAAUAAGAUUAUGCAAACUGAAGGAAACUGAAGGAGUUAUAUUCUUAUAUUUGAGAGUGUCAACAUUAUUUGGUUGACGGAUCACUUCCUCAUUUGUACCAACAAUAUUAGUGUUUUUGUGAAGCAGGCAUCAACAUCCAAAUCCUCUUUGGCAAGUGUAUCUUCAAAGUCCAAAACAUCGCAAAGGAAACAUGUCAAUGGAAAUGGUUCAAAGCAGAGUUCUGCAGCAAAGAAGAAUGUUAUUCAAGAGAAGGCAUCUGCAGGGAAGAGGCUUCAUCCAGGGUUAAUCUCUAGUCGGGAUCGUUCUACUGCUCAUUAUGGUGCUGUAAUUGGAUUAAAGAUGACGUCAGAUGGACAAUAUUUGCUUAGUGCAGGUUAAGUGUUUUCUACUUUACGGUAUAGUAAAUUUUUUUUUUUUAUGGGCUAACAGUAUAGAUGAAGUGAUGAACAUUUCUUGUGAGAAAUGGUUAGUUUAAAAAAUUAAGGAUAUGGUUUUAUAUCUCUGCAUAUAGGUUUUUUCCCUGAAAGGCUGAAAGUAUUCUCGAAAUUCAAGUGCUUUAGCUAGGGGUGGCAAUUUCGGGUAACGGGUCGUGUUCGUGUCAGCAAUCGGGUCAAUUGCGAGUCGAUUUCGGGUUAAGCUAAAAUCACUUAAAAUUGAAUGAAACUUAAAAUUGAAGUUAUUAGAAACGAAAUUAGAAUUUCGGGUAAUGUCGGGUCCAUUUCGUGUCAAAACGGGUGAUUUUCGGGUCACUUUCGGGUUUUGUCUCAGUAAAUCGGGUUACGGGUUCGGGUCGGGUUCGGGUCGGGUUCGGGUCGUGUCUGAUAUUGCCAGCCCUAGCUUUAGCAAUAUAGCCCUCAGACCCCCUUUAAAGGAGGUUGAGGGUUGAAGUCUUGUUUAAAGACAAUACUGAGCAGAAUUGGUAGAAUAUAUACUUGAGGGAAUGCUGUUUAUCUACUAUUUAAGCCUAUGUGGCUUCUAUAUUUAAUAAUUUACUGAAUAUAAUAAAUUUAUUUUGGUUGUGCUGAAAGUCAAGUUAAACUAACAUUGUAAUGUUUUCCCUCACUGUUAUUAUUUAUUUCUGAGGAGGUUCUUUAAUUUGUAAUUUGCAUUAUUUUGUUAUCAGUCUCUCUUCGACUGUCAAAUAAAGUAUUAAGAUUAGGAUUAGAAGAAACCUGAAAGGAAGUUACUGGUAUUAGUCUUGUGUUCUUGGAGUUGAACUUUUGGACUCCCAUAAGCUAUGUUACUCCGACUCUUCUAUUUAGGCUGCCGUACCCGUGUCGGACACUUGGACACACGGACACGACACUUAUUUCGGGUCGGAUCCUUUAGCUAAAAUGUGGACACUUUGACCAAUUUAAAAAUCAAAUAUGAGUAGAACUUACAAUUCAAAAGAAAUAUGCGAGAACAAAGAAAGAAGCAAGAAUAAGAUUUAAGUACAAAAGAUGCCUAAUUUGCAAAAUCCCUUACAAAAUCAUGUCUAAUAUGAGUUUUAUUGUUACUUUUUGUUAAGAUGUCUAGCUUACCAUACUUGUUUAUUAGUAUACUACGAUGUGUCCCCGUACCCGUGUCCAAAAAUAGGACAGUGUCCCCGUGUCCCCAAUUUUCAUAGUUCCCAAGUCCGACACUCGGAUAUGUGUCGUGUCCGACACUCCGUACCCGAGUCCGAGUAACAUAGCCCAUAAGUUAGAAUCGUACAUCUGAGUCGG